GAUUUCUAUAAUCACUUCUUUAGUUGUUUAAGUAAUAUAAUGUUUUAAUUAUUAAGUUCAUAUAAAGUUGAGGUUAAAUCAAUGGAUUAUUUUGAUAAAUGCACGAAUGGGUCGAAUAAUUCAUAGAUGAAUAACAAGCCGAAUACGUAUAAGUUAAGAAAUUCCUUAACUCGGAUGUUGGACUUCAAGAUCACGUGAUAGAAUAUUAUAUUACAAUCAUAUAGGAAGAAACGUGACGCAAAACGGACGAAAAAUGAGAGAGUUGUGUCCGUUUCAGUAAGGAUUAAUGGCUAGGAAAAGUGCAGAGUUGACACGGCCGGGUGGUGAACUGACACGGCCGGGUGAAGGUUCUGUCAAAAAUAUUAUUUAUGUGAUUUAUGCGCCGUAGGCUUCGGUAUAUUAUCCGUGAACUACGACGGGCCUCCCAAACAUGAUUUCGAGUGUUUCCUUGACGAUUAUAAGUUGUAAACCCAAGUCUAAGCCUCAUGUAAUUUAUACAAGAGUGUGAUAGAUGUAUGUAAUGAAGUUGGACAUGUAUUACAUGUAAAUGUACACAAAAAUACGUACGGAACACGUAGGUAUGAAUACAUGAUUGUAGGUAUGAUUAAAUGUAUAUUAGGUAUGUAGAUGUGUAUGAUUGUAAGUUUGUAUGUGUGCAAGUAUGUGCGAAUGCAUGAUUUGGAUGCAUUUGAGAAUUAGCGUUACUAAUAAUGCCCUUGGGUUUGAAAUAUAAGUUGAUUGGAUGCAUUUAAAUGGUUAACGUCCUUUUUAUGAAGAUGUAGUAAAUGAAUAUGUUGAGAUUACGGGUUUGGCUAACCAAGUUAUUAUUGAGUAUGUUUGAAAGUGCAGGUUAUGAAUGUCGGACUUUCGAAGUGUUGAUAUAAUAAUGAAACGGUUGAAUGUUGAAAGGAUAAUCGGAUUGAAGUAACUUAUGCGGUUAGAAUAUGCUAUGGACGUUUUAGUUUAUACAAUAUUAUAUGUUUGGUCGUCACCAUCUACUAACAGGUAAUUCCUCAAUUUUGGCGACUUGGAGAAUCGGAGCGAGCGCGUGUUCGUGUUAUGCGAUACCAAACGCUUCCGCUAGCUUGUUCAAAUGUUUUUGAUCCAAAAUUUGUUGUAUUGGUAUUUAGUAGUAUCUUGUUGAACGAAUUGUAGAAUUGUAUCUAGUUUGUUUAUGUUUUAAACAGGGGUAUGCUCGUUUUAUGGACGGGUCAUGCCCGAUUUUUUUGUUAAAUUAUAGUUUGAUAAUAUCACAUUUAGGAAGGUGAAAUUUUGGGCGUAACAAGUUGGUAUCAGAGCCUAGGUUUGAGGGAUUCGAGCAAGAGUAUCAGUGCUUGAACUCAAACCGAUGGCUCGUGCAAAAGUGUGCUCGCUCCGAGAUCGCCAAUGAGGCCAAGAGCACGCGGGUUAUGUGAAGGGUAAGCGCAAUUGUUCGGAAGGAAUGAUCCGUGAAUGCGGUCUAGGACCGGCAUCAAGGCAAGUAAUAAGACGAAUUGACCCCUGGUACGUAUACUCAACGCGUUGAUGUAUGAAAUAGUAUAAUUAGGCAAGUGAAAGAAAAAUCUAAAUGAAUAUAACAACGACAUGGUAAAGGAGUUUUAAAAAUGUAACACGUGCCGAAACUUAAUUCUUCGGGCAUAAUGUGGCGAUUACGCGAAGACACGAAACUAGUACGUGGAUUGUGUACCUGGCCAGUACACAAGAAACGUAUGACGUUCGUGAGACCGCGAUAAUUGUUACAUGUAUGUCCGUUAGAAUUGGGUAGCAGGUGGGCGUACGGGUGAAAUGAGUAGUAAGACUCUCGGGAGAUUGAGAGUACUACGUAAGAGUACAAAAUGCAAGUGAUAAGAAUAACAUGUUGAAUCCGUAAGAAGUACGGACCAACAAUGUAUGAAUGCAAUGCUUGAAUCCGCGAGACGGAUUCAAGGAAUGAAAGAUAUGAAUGCAAUGCUUGAAUCCGCGAGACGGAUUCAA